AGUGAACGCUGGCGGCGUGCCUAAUACAUGCAAGUCGAACGGAGUGGCGGACGGGUAAGUAAUAUAUAGCUAAUCUGCCACUUGCUGGAGGACAACAGUUAGAAAUGAAUGCUCAUACUCCUUAGCAAGGGAUGAGACUAUAUCGUAUCCGCUAGUCGGUGGGGUAACGGCCUACCAAGGCUAUGAGGCGUAACUGGUCUGAGAGGAUGGUCAGUCACAUGUGAACUGAGACACGGUGCAAACUCCUACGGGAGGCAGGAGUAGGGAAUAGUGCGCAAUGGGGGAAACCCGGACGCCGCAACGCCGGUUGGAGGAUGAAACUUUGCGGGGCGGAAACUCCUUUUGUUAGGGAAGCGGUACCUAACGAAUAAGCACCGGCUAACUACGUGCCAGCAGCCGCGGUAAUAC
rnacentral:rRNA from 1 species